rnacentral:rRNA from 1 species
GAUGUUAGCGGCGGACGGGUGAGUAACACGUGGGUAACCUGCCUGUAAGACUGGGAUAACUCCGGGAAACCGGGGCUAAUACCGGAUGGUUGUUUGAACCGCAUGGUUCAGACAUAAAAGGUGGCUUCGGCUACCACUUACAGAUGGACCCGCGGCGCAUUAGCUAGUUGGUGAGGUAACGGCUCACCAAGGCAACGAUGCGUAGCCGACCUGAGAGGGUGAUCGGCCACACUGGGACUGAGACACGGCCCAGACUCCUACGGGAGGCAGCAGUAGGGAAUCUUCCGCAAUGGACGAAAGUCUGACGGAGCAACGCCGCGUGAGUGAUGAAGGUUUUCGGAUCGUAAAGCUCUGUUGUUAGGGAAGAACAAGUGCCGUUCAAAUAGGGCGGCACCUUGACGGUACCUAACCAGAAAGCCACGGCUAACUACGUGCCAGCAGCCGCGGUAAUACGUAGGUGGCAAGCGUUGUCCGGAAUUAUUGGGCGUAAAGGGCUCGCAGGCGGUUUCUUAAGUCUGAUGUGAAAGCCCCCGGCUCAACCGGGGAGGGUCAUUGGAAACUGGGGAACUUGAGUGCAGAAGAGGAGAGUGGAAUUCCACGUGUAGCGGUGAAAUGCGUAGAGAUGUGGAGGAACACCAGUGGCGAAGGCGACUCUCUGGUCUGUAACUGACGCUGAGGAGCGAAAGCGUGGGGAGCGAACAGGAUUAGAUACCCUGGUAGUCCACGCCGUAAACGAUGAGUGCUAAGUGUUAGGGGGUUUCCGCCCCUUAGUGCUGCAGCUAACGCAUUAAGCACUCCGCCUGGGGAGUACGGUCGCAAGACUGAAACUCAAAGGAAUUGACGGGGGCCCGCACAAGCGGUGGAGCAUGUGGUUUAAUUCGAAGCAACGCGAAGAACCUUACCAGGUCUUGACAUCCUCUGACAAUCCUAGAGAUAGGACGUCCCCUUCGGGGGCAGAGUGACAGGUGGUGCAUGGUUGUCGUCAGCUCGUGUCGUGAGAUGUUGGGUUAAGUCCCGCAACGAGCGCAACCCUUGAUCUUAGUUGCCAGCAUUCAGUUGGGCACUCUAAGGUGACUGCCGGUGACAAACCGGAGGAAGGUGGGGAUGACGUCAAAUCAUCAUGCCCCUUAUGACCUGGGCUACACACGUGCUACAAUGGGCAGAACAAAGGGCAGCGAAACCGCGAGGUUAAGCCAAUCCCACAAAUCUGUUCUCAGUUCGGAUCGCAGUCUGCAACUCGACUGCGUGAAG